UAGAAGUUUUGGAUCCUCGGCUCAGGAAUGAACGGCUGGCGGCAUGCUUAACACAUGCAAGUCGAACGGGAAGUGGUGUUUCCAGUGGACGAACGGGUGAGUAACGCGUAAGAACCUGGCCUUGGAGGGACAACAACUGGAAACGUUGCUAAUACCCCGUAGGCUGAGGAGCAAAAGGAGAAAUCCGGCCCAAGGAGGGGCUCGCGUCUGAUUAGCUAGUUGGUGAGGCAAUAGCUUACCAAGGCGAUCGAUCAGUAGCUGGUCCGAGAGGAUGAUCAGCCACACUGGGACUGAGACACGGCCCAGACUCCUACGGGAGGCAGCAGUGGGGAAUUUUCCGCAAUGGGCGAAAGCCUGACGCAGCGACGCCGCGUGGAGGAAGAAGGUCUUCGGAUUGUAAACUCCUGUUGUUGAGGAAGAUAAUGACGGUACUCAACAAGGAAGUGACGGCUAACUACGUG
rnacentral:rRNA from 1 species